rnacentral:lncRNA from 1 species
GCAAGUUUGAAAAAACCAAGAGAAAUGGAAUGCUUAGCAGCAGAUUCAGAGAGCUUAAUCUGGGAUAGCCAAUAGAGUGCAGAGGAAAGACGAUUUCCUUCCUUUCCAUUAGAUGAUUUUGAAACUGCUGAAAGCGGUGUAGUAGUUUUCCCCUGGUUGAUUGCGGAUCUCUUUGCUCUAGCCUCAGAAAUAGGAGUGAUAGUGCCUACUGCUCUUGAGGAGGCAGUUAGUUUUCCCCUGGUUGAUAGCGGAUCUCUUUGCUCUAGCCUCAGAAAUAGGAGUGAUAGUGCCUACUGUUCUUGAGGCGGCAGGGCUGGCACUUGGCUUAGACUGAAUAGACAGCCUUCUUGG